CGGGGACGCGCGUCGUGAGGGUGGGGCUGAUGAUGGGGGUGAAGUCGUAACAAGGUAGCCGUAGCGGAAGCUGCGGCUGGAUCACCUCCUUU
rnacentral:rRNA from 1 species